rnacentral:rRNA from 1 species
UGUCCAGACUCCUACGGGAGGCAGCAGUAGGGAAUUUUGCGCAAUGGGCGAAAGCCUGACGCAGCAACGCCGCGUGAUCGAGACGCCCUUCGGGGUGUAAAGAUCUGUCAGUGGGGACGAAACUUGACGGUACCCACAGAGGAAGCACCGGCUAACUCCGUGCCAGCAGCCGCGGUAAUACGGAGGAUGCGAGCGUUAUCCGGAUUUAUUGGGUUUAAAGGGUGCGCAGGCGGCACGGCAAGCCGGCGGUCAAAUCGCGGGGCUCAACCCCGCCCAGCCGUCGGAACUGCCGGGCUAGAGUGGGCGAGAAGUGCGCGGAAUGCGUGGUGUAGCGGUGAAAUGCAUAGAUAUCACGCAGAACUCCGAUUGCGAAGGCAGCGCACCGGCGCCCUACUGACGCUCAGGCACGAAAGCGUGGGUAUCGAACAGGAUUAGAUACCCGCGUACA